rnacentral:rRNA from 1 species
AGUGAACGCUGGCGGCAGGCCUAACACAUGCAAGUCGAGCGGCAGCGCGGGGGCAACCCUGGCGGCGAGCGGCGGACGGGUGAGGAAUGCAUCGGAAUCUACCUCGUUGUGGGGGAUAACCUCGGGAAACCGGGACUAAUACCGCAUACGACCUACGGGUGAAAGUGGGGGACCUUCGGGCCUCACGCGAUGAGAUGAGCCGAUGCCGGAUUAGCUAGUUGGCGGGGUAAAGGCCCACCAAGGCGACGAUCCGUAGCUGGUCUGAGAGGAUGAUCAGCCACACUGGAACUGAGACACGGUCCAGACUCCUACGGGAGGCAGCAGUGGGGAAUAUUGGACAAUGGGCGCAAGCCUGAUCCAGCCAUGCCGCGUGUGUGAAGAAGGCC